UUGAAACAGUUAUUGCAUUUCAAACUACGAUAUCAUGAUUUAGGGGUAUUAUGAAACUUCUUAGCCGUUUAUGAGCCUUACGAGUUUGUUACCUGGCUUCAUUGGUGGAACCACUUGAAAAGCGCAACUCAAAUUAUACAUGUGCUGAUUUUGUAUCACUAUUUUGUGAACUUCAAAGUAAAAUUUCUGUUUCCAGAAUGGUCUAGCUGUCAAAAUAAUUAUAAGAAGUAUUACUUAGUCACCUAGUGAUUUAGUCUAACUUGUCCUAGCAGUGAUUUGUUCAUUGAUAUCAAAUUUUUCCGUGUUACAGUAUAUUGUUAUUUUCUUGUCAGGUAGCUUUGGCAUUGUUGGGCAACAAUGUAUCAUGCAUUAAGGUGCCAUAUCCCAACUGUUUUUAAAACUUCCGAGGAUGAUAUGUGAUAUAGUAUCAGAUACAAAGCAAAUGAUGGACUGAACAUUAUGUUAAUUUGACAGUGCAUAAAUGAAUCAUCUAGGUUAAAAGGGCAUGUUCAUUUUCAAGUCCAAACAGAAUUUAUUGAAUAUCUCCAUUCAAUUAUGGCAUCAAAUCUAUGUAUAAAUCUGGUUGCUUUUUGGUACAUGUAAAUGGUAUAAAUAAUAAAGCAGUUUGGUCGAUGUGAUUAUCAGUUUUCGAUGUUAUUUUGCAUAUUUGGAUAAUUUGUAUAUUCCUCAAAAAUUUCAUGUGGAGUGUAGGUAGCUGCCCUUGUACCUAAAAGUGAGCUUGAUGGUGAGAUGCCCACAUGGCUCUUCAAGCAAGGCUUAUGAGUCAAGCUCUUCUCACAAGUUGAGCCAUUCUCUGCCUGUCUCAAGUUAUAUUGAUCUUUAUUAAUCAGUUGUUGGUUUAGGAUGAAACCAAGAAUUCAAAAAUUGCCCGUGCUGGGACUGCACUUUUCAGGGAUUGAUAAAAGAGACCCAUUUGUCUCAAUUGUAGUGAACCAGGCCUAUAUCAUGCAAUAUAAAGCUAUGACAUGAAUUGGUCUUUUGGUAGGCUUUGGGGAGCCAAGUUUUGGUGAAGAUUGUGAGAACAAACAUGCCCUGCCAUUCAAAACUCUCCAGUCCGAGCUUGGAAUUGGAAAGGUGAUAAGCCAUGAUUCAGAGAUACCAAAAUUAGGCUGCAAACACAAGUUUAGUGUGAAGGAGGUGGUCGUUUCUGCAGUUAGAAAGGAUGUAGCUUCCAUAGAAAAGAUGCCAUUAAACACUAUUUUGCAAAGAAUGAAGGUGCCUGGAAGAGAUGAUGAUGUUCAAAGAGAAAUUAUUGCAUGAGACAAAAAAGAAACAUGAACCAAAAAGUGAAGCUCCUGAUCCAAUCAGAAAGAAAGAAGAUUUUUCUCAACCCUCUAAACUUGA